UUAGGCCUGAGUUUGAUCCUGGCUCAGCCUGAACGCUGGCGGCGUGGCUAAGACAUGCAAGUCGCACGGGGUCGCAAGACCCAGUGGCGAACGGGUGAGUAAUGAAUCGCUAAUGUACCCCGGACUCUGGGAUAGCUACCCGAAAGGGUAGGUAAUACCAGAUGAGACCACGAUCAGGCAUCUGAUUGUGCUCAAAGGUCCGCCGGUCUGGGAGCAGGCGAUUUCGUAUCAGCUAGUUGGUGAGGUAACGGCUCACCAAGGCGACGACGCGUAGCCGGACUGAGAGGUUGGCCGGCCACAUUGGGACUGAGACACUGCCCAGACUCCUAUGGGGGGCUGCAGUAACGAAUCUUCCGCAAUGCACGAAAGUGUGACGGAGCGACGCCGCGUGUAGGACGAAGCCCUUCGGGGUGUAAACUACUGUCAGGGGUUAGAAAGUUCUGAUCAACCCCAGAGGAAGGCACGGCUAACUCUGUGCCAGCAGCCGCGGUAAGACAGAGGUGCCAAGCGUUAGGCGGAAUCACUGGGCUUAAAGCGUGUGUAGGCGGAUUUGUAAGUACCUUGUGAAAUCCCACGGCUCAACCGUGGAACUGCUCGGUAUACUGCUUAUCUUGAGCCACUUAGGGGCUACCGGAACAACUGGUGGAGCGGUGAAAUGCGUAGAUAUCAUUUGGAACGCCAAUGGUGAAAACAGGUAGCUGGGAGUGUGCUGACGCUGAGACACGAAAGCCAGGGGAGCGAACGGGAUUAGAUACCCCCGUAGUCCGGUAAAUGUCA
rnacentral:rRNA from 1 species